UUUUUUUUUGCUGUUAACAGUAAAAUCACCAAAUUCCCAAGUAUGAAAGGAUUUAAAAAGUUAAUUCUCAGGACAGAGGAAAAAUAGGAAGUGUUCAGCUCUUUUACACAGCCCCUAGGUCAAUUUCAUUUUUCUCAUUAUGGCUUAGGCCAAGGUAUUGCAGACUGUAAAAAGGUGGAACAUUAAAAUGGUAUGCUGCUGACUAGAAUCAAUAAUGAAUUCAUGACUGCCAUAUGUAUUAAUUUGAUACUACUCUAAGCACUGAGAUUCACUGUUAAUGUUCAGAGGAAAACCACUGAAGAAAAGAACUAAAGAAAAAUAAAGCGUGAUUUGAUGUCUAGAUGGAAGAGUCAGAUCUGAUUCCUUCACUUAACUCAUACGCUGGCUGUCUAUUAUCAUAAACCAAUUUUCAAGCAGGAAUAAGGAAGAAGCUGGGGUGGAGGAAAGAAUAUUUGUUUAAAAAACUAAAACAGACUAAAAUGAAGACAUUUUGCCCAGACACAAUAAGGCUUUUGUCAACUACUUCUCUAUAAAAGGAGUUGACACUUUCCCAUGAAGCAAUUCCUUAAUCCCAAAUGAUGGCAUAAUAACCUCAUUUCAAAUGCCUCCUUAAAAGAAAAAGUUUAUUUUGUCUAAGCUAAACUUCAACUGGCAAUCACCAGACACCAAUUAACAGUGUCAAAUAUAAGGGUCACAGAACAAUUCUGCAAGCUGAGAAAGUUGGAAUUCAUUCCUAAAUCCUAUCUUCUUCUCUGAAAGAUUUUUCUAAAAGUUUAACUUUGUUUUCCUGUCUUUGGAAAUAACCUAUGCUAGGCAAUUAAGAAAAUGCAAAUAGCUUACCAUAUUGAAAGUAAUCAGCCCAGAAACUUUUCAGUAACUUAAUAUUCCAAUAAAGUCCUGUGUCAUAUGAACCUACUUGUUAAUUCCACUCUCAACUCAAGAGCUGGCAAUUAACCAUUUUCAGAUUUAACUUCAUAUUAUUAAUAAGUGGUACUCAGCUGCUUGAUAUUAGAAACUGCCUUUCAAAUCAAAAGCCUUCAAAAUUACUUCCAUGCUAGAUUCCUUUUAUUCCUUGUUGGUAAACUGCCUUUCCAUGUAAUAGUUGUUCUCCUUCCAAUAAUACUGUGCGUGACAAUAGUCAUGAGUUUUGUGUGUUCUAGAGUACGCAAAACAACUCGCUGUAAUACAUGUUCUGUGCUGGUAUGCUCUUUCAAAGAAGCCUCAAAGUCAGCCAUGAUGCAGCUUCAGCAGCCAACACACUCCCUUCUUUCCCACCUUCAGUUAUUUAUAAGCUUGUAACACAGUGGAAUAUUUAAGAGCAUUUUCAUUAAAAGCCGUAUUAUUAAUCUGUAUACCCAUUUCACAGGAAGUGGUGCUUAUUCCCUAUUUUAUGUACUACUUCGCACAUUCAGACAGACAGGAACAUCUUAUUCAAUAUUUAGCACUACACAGCAGCUAAGAACGUAUUUCAUUACAUCCCUGAAUAGUCUUCCCAAUCCCUUACAACUACAGGGAGUCACAGUACCUUGAAAGGACCCUAAGUAUACUAGUCCAGAUUGAGACAAAGUAGACUCCUCACUGCUUCUGUAUCCUCUUUUACAUUAGCAGAAACAAAAACAAAUUUACAAAUUUCAAGUUUUCCUUUUUUUAAAAAGGAUCCUAUUAAACGCUGAAAAACAUGGUGUACUCAAGUCCUCUAAAUUAGGUAAAUUUUUAACCUGUACAUGUUCACCAAUAAAAUAAACUUCAAAAUCUUAAGCCAACAUCAAGAAUCCUAUCCAGCUGUAGUAAAAACAUCUAAACUGAGCUCUGACAAGUUAUUCCUCUCCAGAAACACAGGUGGAAACAUACAGCUUCCCAUCUACCCAUCAGCAGUCUGAAAGCAGAGAAACAAUAGCAGAAAUUAAGCCUGGACCCCAACUGUAUGGUCUAAUAUGGACACCUUAAAGAGUCCUUACCAUUGAUAACGUUUUUUCUCUCCACAUUUAUCAGCGCACAGGAUUACAACUGUGUCAGCCCAGCACGGCAACAAUUCAGGAACAGGAAAAAGCUGAAACGCCACAUUUUUCCUGUCACAGAUCAGAUUUUGACUACAUUUUCAAACUUACCAAGCUGUGAAUGUUCUAAAAAAAAAAAUACUCCUUCCUGGAAGAUUUAACCAAUUUACACCGAGUAAUCUUCUUCGUACAAGUUUCCACCAAAAUCCUGCCAUGUAUCUAUCCUAUUACAAAUAUGGUAUCUUCUGGGGGAAUUACCUCCAGCAAUUAAUGCAUCAAGCGCAAAAUACCAAAUACAUUUUAAAAAAAGCGAUUGACUCAAAAAAAAAUUCAACCCACAGAAGACUACUCUUCUCCUUGCAAGAGAGCAGUGGUAUGGAAAGGACCAAACAUCUCAUCUGUUUGAGGGAAAGAUAUCUCUAAGUAAACCUGAAAUGAGAGCAGGUCAACACCAAUUACUGCAACACUUCCAAGAUGACUAACGUCCCAAGAGUAGCAAAAUGCUAAAAUUUCAUUUAUUCUCUCUCAACAAGCUUGGUACUGUUGAGCAUCUAUUUUGGAGCUGUAUGAAGAGGCCCCUAACACAACGUGGUGUUUUCACUUCUGCGCCACGGGCACCGGUGUGUACCGGGGGCUUCUCACCGAUGCCCUAAGUUCCUCAUAUUGGUUUGUCUGCAUGGGUAGCUCUACAGAGGAGCACAUCAUGGCAAUCCCAAAUACCUACCAGGAUCAAACAGUGAUUUUAGGCAACCAAGCUAUUAAUCUGGAAGUUCUUUAAAUGAAACUUCAUCCUCUCAGA